UACGGGGGGGGCAAGCGUUGUUCGGAAUUACUGGGCGUAAAGGGCGCGUAGGCGGUCUGCUAAGUUGGAUGUGAAAACUCUGGGCUUAACCCAGAGCCUGCAUUCAAUACUGACAGGCUAGAGUUCUGGAGGGGAUAGCGGAAUUCCUGGUGUAGCGGUGGAAUGCGCAGACAUCAGGAGGAACAUCCGUGGCGAAGGCGGCUCUCUGGGACGGUACUGACGCUGAGACGCGAAAGCGUGGGGAGCGAACAGG
rnacentral:rRNA from 1 species